AAAUUGAAUUGGUUCACCGAGGACGAGGCUUAGCCAUUGCACUGCGGCUGCGCUGACUUUUACGAAUUCCCCAAAUGUGGAAAUCUCGACUGCAUAAUUUCUGGUAGUGGGGGACUGCGUUCGCGCUCUCCCCUG
rnacentral:snRNA from 1 species